rnacentral:rRNA from 1 species
AAUUUUGGGCAAUGGGCGAAAGCCUGACCCAGCAACGCCGCGUGAAGGAUGAAAUCCUUCGGGAUGUAAACUUCGCAAGAACGGGAAGAAUAAGCCGGUAUUAACACCACCGGUGAUGACGGUACUGUUUGUAAGCUCCGGCUAACUCAGUGCCAGCAGCCGCGGUAAUACGGGGGGAGCUAGCGUUGUUCGGAAAUACUGGGCGUAAAGCGCACGUAGGCGGCGCAGCAAGUCAGGGGUGAAAUCCCGGGGCUCAACCCCGGAACUGCCCUUGAAACUGCAGUGCUAGAAUCUUGGAGAGGCGAGUGGAAUUCCGAGUGUAGAGGUGAAAUUCGUAGAUAUUCGGAAGAACACCAGUGGCGAAGGCGACUCGCUGGACAAGUAUUGACGCUGAGGUGCGAAAGCGUGGGGAGCAAAC